rnacentral:rRNA from 1 species
AGCUUGUUGGUGAGGUAAAGGCUCACCAAGGCGACGACGGAUAGGGGGCCUGAGAGGGUGACCCCCCACACUGGAACUGACAAACGGUCCAGACUCCUACGGGAGGCAGCAGUAAGGGAUAUUGCGCAAUGGGCGAAAGCCUGACGCAGCAACGCCGCGUGCGGGAAGAAGGUCUUCGGAUCGUAAACCGCUUUUCUGAGGGACGAGCAAGGACGGUACCUCAGGAAGAAGUCUCGGCUAACUACGUGCCAGCAGCCGCGGUAAAACGUAGGAGGCAAGCGUUAUCCGGAUUUACUGGGCGUAAAGCGCGUGCAGGUGGUUUCUUAAGUCGUGCGUGAAAGCCCCGCGCUCAACGCGGGGAGGCCGUGCGAGACUGAGAAACUGGAGCCAGACAGAGGCAAGUGGAAUUCCGGGUGUAGUGGUGAAAUGCGUAGAGAUCCGGAGGAACACCAGUGGCGAAGGCGGCUUGCUGGGUCUAGGCUGACACUCAGACGCGAAAGCAUGGGGAGCGAACGGGAUUAGAAACCCCGGUAGUCCAUGCUAUAAACGAUGCCGACUAGGCGUCAGGAGCGUUAGCUCUUGGUGCCGCAGCAAACGCGAUAAGUCGGCCGCCUGGGGACUACGAGCGCAAGCUUAAAACUCAAAGGAAUUGACGGGGGCCCGCACAAGCAGCGGAGCGUGUGGUUUAAUUCGAGGCUACACGAAGAACCUUACCUGGGUUGGACAUGGAUGCGAACGAAGCCGAAAGGUGGAGGGUCGCAAGACGCAUUCACAGGUGCUGCAUGGCUGUCGUCAGCUCGUGUCGUGAGAUGUUCGGUUAAGUCCGGUAACGAGCGCAACCCCUGGGUUUAGUUACAAGUGUCUAAACCAACUGCCCGGUUCAACUGGGAGGAAGGUGGGGAUGACGUCAAGUCAGCAUGGCCUUUAUAUCCAGGGCUACACACACGCUACAAUGACCGGGACAAUGGGUCGCCAAGCCGCGAGGCGGAGCCAAUCCACCAAAACCGGUCUCAGUUCGGAUUGCAGGCUGCAACCCGCCUGCAUGAAGUCGGAGUUGCUAGUAAACGCAGGUCAGCCAUACUGCGUUGAAUACGUUCCCGGGCCUUGUACACACCGCCCGUCACGUCAUGGGAGCUGGUCGCGCCUGAAGUCGGUAGGCUAACCGCAAGGAGGCAGCCGCCGAAGGCGGGGCUGGUGACUGGGACGAAGUCGUAACAAGGUAGCUGUAGCGGAAGCUGCGGCUG